GGGCAAAUGGCCGAGUGGUCUAAGGCGCCAGGUUUAGGCCCUGGUAUCUCCGGAUGCGUGGGUUCAAACCCCACUUUGCUCA